GCCAAAAGGAAAAAGUUCUAAAUUCCAUAACCAUAACCUUUCAGGUGGGGUCAUUUAUGUCAAUAUUCAAGGUCAAAAAUAAUUUUCUAUGCUGUUGAGUGUCUAGGUACUGCACAUGUCUUAAGCGUGUUUAUACUUAUUUAUACUGGUUAUACUGUUGCAGGGGAUGAAAUCCAUCCCUAUUCAUUACACCCACAUUUCCAUUGGUAGCCUUAACUUCGCGUCGAACCCCAUUCUACCUUGCAUAACCUAGCUAUUUUUAAUUUGUUCACUCUGGUUGGUCCUAAUGAUGCACGA
rnacentral:lncRNA from 1 species